rnacentral:rRNA from 1 species
CCUACGGGAGGCAGCAGUGGGGAAUAUUGCACAAUGGGGGAAACCCUGAUGCAGCGACGCCGCGUGAGUGAAGAAGUAUUUCGGUACGUAAAGCUCUAUCAGCAGGGAAGAAAAUGACGGUACCUGACUAAGAAGCCCCGGCUAACUACGUGCCAGCAGCCGCGGUAAUACGUAGGGGGCAAGCGUUAUCCGGAUUUACUGGGUGUAAAGGGAGCGUAGACGGCAGCGCAAGUCUGGAGUGAAAUCCCAUGGCUUAACCAUGGAACUGCUUUGGAAACUGUGCAGCUGGAGUGCAGGAGAGGUAAGCGGAAUUCCUAGUGUAGCGGUGAAAUGCAUAGAUAUCGCGCAGAACUCCGAUUGCGAAGGCAGCAUGCCGGCUCCACACUGACGCUGAGGCACGAAAGCGUGGGUAUCGAACAGGAUUAGAUACCCGUGUAGUC